AUAUCAAUAAGCGGAGGAAAAGAAACCAACAGGGAUUGCCUCAGUAACGGCGAGUGAAGCGGCAACAGCUCAAAUUUGAAAUCUGGCCGCAAGGUCCGAGUUGUAAUUUGCAGAGGAUGCUUUUGGCGAGGUGCCUUCCGAGUUCCCUGGAACGGGACGCCAUAGAGGGUGAGAGCCCCGUACGGUUGGACCACCGAGCCUCUGUAAAGCUCCUUCGACGAGUCGAGUAGUUUGGGAAUGCUGCUCUAAAUGGGAGGUGUACGUCUUCUAAAGCUAAAUACCGGCCAGAGACCGAUAGCGCACAAGUAGAGUGAUCGAAAGAUGAAAAG
rnacentral:rRNA from 3 species